GCAGGGGGCAUGCACAGUACCCUGUUUUUGCUCCCGGCUCUUCAGAAGUGGCAGUUGGGUUUUGGGGGUCUUUUUGUAUCUCGUUGCCCAGAAUUUGCCCCAACGGCACAUGCACACAGUUAUUUUUAGUCCCUUAUAGUUUCUUUGUAUUUUGUUGCUCAAGGAGACGUUUGUCCAGGUGCAAGCACUGCAGCAAAGGGUCCCAGGGCCCAGAGCCCAGCCUGCCGGGUCCCAUAAAAGACUGUCCUUUGGGGUCGAUGAUGCCCAGACUGGGUGAGCCGGUCCCCUGAUCACGUGCUUGGGGGUCAGGGCAAGGUCAAGUUGCUAUAGAAACGGUGGUUUCUGUACUUUUGGCUGAGGCAGAGUUGCAAGCACAAACCUUUAGCAUUAUGAGCAGAACUGAAAAUUAUAAAGCUAUGUAUAAAAAUCCUUUUAACAAUGCUGAACCACGGGAGUCUGCUUUGUUACUUUACUAAGUGCAAUGAACAUAGUUUUCCUUUCCUUUGUAAUUGUUUCCUUUUCUUUCCAUUAUUCUCAAGGAUUGAAGCCAGUGCCGUGGCCUCAGAACCCUUCUGAGACCAGGGGUGUGGCUGGCGCAGGAAGCAGAGGGAAUCUGUUCUGACCUGGGGUGGAGCCCCGUGCGUGCCUCACCGUAUCACUGAAUAUGUGCAGGACCGAGGGCCGGGAGGGGGAGGCUCAUCCUCUCCAGUCGAAAGCAAAGGGCAAAGCCCAAGCAGCAGGCGUUUCAGAAGCCCUCCAGGUGGUUGCCAUCUGCAGCCACGUUUGAAAACCAUCGCACCUGGCCAGGGGGCAGUCCCCGGGCGAGUCUAGAAGCUGGAGAAGUACGAAACAGGCGCCGGGCAGCGGAGGAGGAGACGAGAAACCCGGCUGGAGGCGGGCGGGGAGACAAAGGAACUUGCAUGUUAUUGCUCUGACAAAUGAAGAGAGCUGGAAUUGAUAUCUUCUUGCUUAAAAGCACAUCUUCCUCUUGACUGAAACGCUGUUUGCUAAGGAGAGAGGUAAGAUGAGCGACUCUAAUACCGUGAACUCCAGCUUCUUUCUGCCUAAGUAGAAUAUCCUUUGGAAUUCAUUAACCCCCCAAUUAGAUAUAAUCAAUGGACAUGUCCGGGUUUAACUAACAAGAGUUUUAUUCUGUGUGUGCGCUUGCCACAAGGGGAAACAGAAUGACAGCUGUCCUGAUAUGAGACAUCGUUGAUUUUGUACAACUGCUUUACAAUUUAGGCAAAACUUUCAAUGCUUCAGUGAUUAGCUGAUGCAGAUCUGUCCCGAGGACAAUGCAAACUGCAUAAUUACAAGGAAGUGGACAAAUGGCAAGUGAUAAUUCUGCCGGGCUAUGAGAGCUGCCAACUCACCAGUGUAAACAUCUGAAAAUCUCAGUGUACGAAAAAGGAGUCUGUAAAAAUUCAGCUUAAAACAAGUUUAUUCCAGACAGUUUUCUAGUCUAGUUCAUAUUUCUUCAGAAGG